rnacentral:rRNA from 1 species
UCAGGUUGAUCCUGCCUGACACGAUUGCUAUUCGUUUGGUACUAAGCCAUGCAAGUCGAAGGGGGUGAAUGUUCCACCCUGGCGAAAGGCUCAGUAACACGUGGAGAACCUGCCCUGCGGUCCGGGAUAACCCCGGGAAACUGGGGACAAUACCGGAUAUCCGAGAUGGCCUGGAAGGGUAUCUCGUUGAAACAGGCGCCUAACUAGGCUGGCGUCCCGCCGCAGGAUGGCUCCGCGGCCGAUUACGCUUGAUGGUGGGGUCACGGCCCACCAUGGCUUUGAUCGGUACCGGCUGUGUGAGCAGGAGCCGGGAGAAUUUGACUGAGACACGGCAAAUAGCCCUACGGGGUGCAGCAGGCGAGCAACCUCUGCCAUGCGCGAAAGCGUGACAGGGCCAAACGAAGUGUCGGUUUUAAAAGAGCCGGCUGUGGUACGGAGUACGUAGCCGUACAAGAAAGGAGUGGGCAAGGCUGGUGCCAGCCGCCGCGGUAACACCAGCACUUCAAGUGAUCGUGACAUUUAUUGAGCUUAAAGCGUCCGUAGCUGGCCUUGCAAGUCCCCGGUUAAACCCGCGGGCUCAACCUGCGGCUUGCUGGGGAUACUACUUGGCUUGGGAAUGGAAGAGGCACCCAGUACGUGCGGGGUAGCGGUGAAAUGCGAUAAUCCUGCACGGACUACCCGUGGCGAAGGCGGGGUGCUAGGACAUGUCCGACAGUGAUGGACGAAAGCCCGGGGAGCGAACGGGAUUAGAUACCCCGGUAGUCCGGGCCGUAAACGAUGCCCGCUAGGUGUUGCGUUCGCCAAGAGCUAACGCGGUGCCGAAGGGAAACCGUUAAGCGGGCCGCUUGGGGAGUACAGUCGCAAGACCGAAACUUAAAGGAAUUGACGGGGGAAUACCACAAGGGGUGAAGCCUGCGGUUUAAUUGGACCCAACGCCGGGAAUCUUACCAGGGGCGAUAGCUGCAUGAGGGACAGGCUGACGACCUUUCCUGACUGGCUAAGAGGUAGUGCAUGGCCAUCGCCAGUUCGUGCCGUGAGGUGUCUUGUUAAGUCAAGCAACGAACGAAACCCGCGCUGCCAAUUGCCACCGACAAAGUUGUGACUUUCCGGGCACAUUGGCGGGAUCGCCAGUGCUAAACUGGAUGAAAGUGCGGGCCACGGUAGGUCAGUAUGCUCCGAAUCCACCUGGGCCACACGCGGGCUGCAAAGGCCGGGACAAUGCGUUGCUACGCCGAAAGGCGGCGCUAAUCGUCAAACCCGGUCCCAGUCGGGAUCGAGGGCUGCAACCCGCCCUCGUGAACUUGGAAUCCCUAGUAGUCGCGGGUCAUCAUCCCGCGGCGAAUGCGUCUCUAUUCCUUGCACACACCGCCCGUCGCUUCAUGCGAGUGGCUCCUGGGAGAGGCUCGUUCACCUUCGGGUGGGCGGUUCUAUCCUCGGUGCCGCAAGUGGGAAGAAGUCGUAACAAGGUA